GAUGAACGCUGGCGGCGUGCCUAAUACAUGCAAGUCGAGCGAACAGACGAGGAGCUUGCUCCUCUGACGUUAGCGGCGGACGGGUGAGUAACACGUGGAUAACCUACCUAUAAGACUGGCAUAACUUCGGGAAACCGGAGCUAAUACCGGAUAAUAUAUUGAACCGCAUGGUUCAAUAGUGAAAGACGGUUUUGCUGUCACUUAUAGAUGGAUCCGCGCCGCAUUAGCUAGUUGGUAAGGUAACGGCUUACCAAGGCGACGAUGCGUAGCCGACCUGAGAGGGUGAUCGGCCACACUGGAACUGAGACACGGUCCAGACUCCUACGGGAGGCAGCAGUAGGGAAUCUUCCGCAAUGGGCGAAAGCCUGACGGAGCAACGCCGCGUGAGUGAUGAAGGUCUUCGGAUCGUAAAACUCUGUUAUUAGGGAAGAACAAAUGUGUAAGUAACUAUGCACGUCUUGACGGUACCUAAUCAGAAAGCCACGGCUAACUACGUG
rnacentral:rRNA from 1 species